rnacentral:lncRNA from 1 species
GGAAGACUUGUCUGCCGGCCGUGUGGAAAGCCGCGUUUCGAAGGUGUAUAAAGCAGGGCGCAUCCGUCAGAUGUGCAUCAGUCAUCAGCAAAGACAAAGUGAAGUGAACAAUCCAAUCCAAUUCAAUCUUCUUCAAGUGAACCAACCAAAAAACAAAACCAAACUCAAAAUGCCUUGCCCAUGCGGAUCUGGUAAGUUUGAAGAAAAAACUAUCAAGUCUGAUCCUGUUAACUAUUAGAAUCCUUCUUGCCAUUUACAGGUUGCAAAUGCGCCACUCAGACACCCAAGACAGGCUGCAACUGCGGCACUGACUGCAAGUGCGGCGGAGACAACAAGGCCAAGUGCGGCUGCUCCUCAAAGUGAGAGGAAGGGAAGCCCAUACCCAAACCAGCACUGAUUUCGUUGUAUUAUUUUUUGUACGCAGCAGCCGUAGCCGUGCACUAUACUAGCAAUUUUUUUCUCGCUUUGCAUAAUGUCCAAUAAACUCAAUUGAAACUUGAGCCGUGCCAGUGUUGUGUAUGGUUUUUCAGUUGCGAAAUCAUUUGGUGUGAUCGAAUUUCUUA